GCAUAACGCGAAGAACCUUACCUACUCUUGACAUCCAGAGAACUUAGCAGAGAUGCUUUGGUGCCUUCGGGAACUCUGAGACAGGUGCUGCAUGGCUGUCGUCAGCUCGUGUUGUGAAAUGUUGGGUUAAGUCCCGCAACGAGCGCAACCCUUAUCCUUUGUUGCCAGCGGUCCGGCCGGGAACUCAAAGGAGACUGCCAGUGAUAAACUGGAGGAAGGUGGGGAUGACGUCAAGUCAUCAUGGCCCUUACGAGUAGGGCUACACACGUGCUACAAUGGCGCAUACAAAGAGAAGCGACCUCGCGAGAGCAAGCGGACCUCAUAAAGUGCGUCGUAGUCCGGAUUGGAGUCUGCAACUCGACUCCAUGAAGUCGGAAUCGCUAGUAAUCGUAGAUCAGAAUGCUACGGUGAAUACGUUCCCGGGUCUUGUACACACCG
rnacentral:rRNA from 1 species